rnacentral:rRNA from 1 species
AACGUAGGACGCAAGCGUUAUCCGGAGUUACUGGGCGUAAAGGGCGUGUAGGCGGCUGUUCAAGUUCGUCGUGAAAGACCCCGGCUCAACCGGGGGUGGUCGAGGGAGACUGAACAGCUGGAGGACGGUAGAGGGACAGUGAAUUCCGGGUGUAGUGGUGAAAUGCGUAGAGAUCCGGAGGAACACCAGUGGCGAAGGCGCUGUCCUGGGCCGACCCUGACGCUGAGACGCGACAGCAUGGGGAGCGAACGGG